GACAGAGGGUGCAAACGUUGCUCGGAAUCACUGGGCGUAAAGGGCGCGUAGGCGGGAAUGUAAGUCGGGCGUGAAAUCCCUAGGCUCAACCUAGGAACUGCACUCGAAACUGCGUUUCUUGAGUAUCGGAGAGGAAAGCGGAAUUCCUGGUGUAGAGGUGAAAUUCGUAGAUAUCAGGAGGAACACCAGUGGCGAAGGCGGCUUUCUGGACGGUAACUGA
rnacentral:rRNA from 1 species